rnacentral:rRNA from 1 species
CAAGUCGAACGAGAAAGUCCGCAAGGAUGAGUAAAGUGGCGUACGGGUGAGUAACACGCUGGUAUAACCUGCCCUUUAGUGGGGAAUACCGCUGGGAAACCGGCGACAAUACCGCAUAAGCUCGAGAGAGGAAAGCAGCAAUGCGCUGAAGGAGGGGUCCGCGGCCGAUUAGCUAGUUGGCAGGGUAAAAGCCUACCAAGGCUGUGAUCGGUAGCCGGCCUGAGAGGGCACACGGCCACACUGGCACUGAAACACGGGCCAGACUCCUACGGGAGGCAGCAGUGGGGAAUCUUGCACAAUGGGGGAAACCCUGAUGCAGCGACGCCGCGUGAGCGAUGAAGCCCUUCGGGGUGUAAAGCUCUUUCGGCAGGGACGAUUAUGACGGUACCUGCAGAAGCAGCUGCGGCUAACUACGUGCCAGCAGCCGCGGUAAUACGUAGGCAGCAAGCGUUGUUCGGAGUUACUGGGCGUAAAGGGUGCGUAGGCGGCUUCUUAAGUCUGGUGUGAAAUCUCCCGGCUCAACUGGGAGGGUGCGCCGGAUACUGAGGGGCUAGAGUGUGGGAGAGGAAAGUGGAAUUCCUGGUGUAGCGGUGAAAUGCGUAGAUAUCAGGAGGAACACCGGUGGUGUAAACGGCUUUCUGGACCAUAACUGACGCUGAGGCACGAAAGCGUGGGUAGCAAACAGGAUUAGAUACCCUGGUAGUCCACGCCCUAAACGAUGCAUAUUUGGUGUGGGCCAUUUCAUUUUGGUCCGUGCC